rnacentral:rRNA from 1 species
UACAGAGGUCUCAAGCGUUGUUCGGAUUCAUUGGGCGUAAAGGGUGCGUAGGUGGCGCGGUAAGUCGGGUGUGAAAUUUCGGAGCUUAACUCCGAAACUGCAUUCGAUACUGCCGUGCUUGAGGACUGGAGAGGAGACUGGAAUUUACGGUGUAGCAGUGAAAUGCGUAGAGAUCGUAAGGAAGACCAGUGGCGAAGGCGGAGUCUCGUGACAUUUCCUGACGCUGAGGCACGAAAGGCCAGGGGAGCAAACGGG